CUUGCUGUGAUUUUACUUAUAAUCAUAUUAUUAUUAUUAUUACAGAUCAAAGACGUAGAAGAACCCGAGCGGGCGCAUAUAGACAACAGCAACGCUAUGCAUUUUUUGUUCCAGUUAAGCCACGCUCAUAUGAAUUAAGGACGGCCAAGACAAUAUAAUCGACAAUAAAUCAAUUAAUUAAACCAAUCUUACCAGUUACUUUCAAUUAAUUAUUAUAAUGUUUAGUGUUUUUUUAAUUGUCGAAUAAAAUGUUUUGUAAUUUUUAAUAAAAAUUAAAUACAUUAUUAUAUAAUACAAUGUGUUGAAAACAUUAAUCAUUCAUUAUCAAUAUAACAAUUUUGUAUUGCUUUUUUUAAUCAUGACUGCAUUCAUUUAAUCGUACUUCGAUUAAAAAUCAAUAAAAUUAAACAUUAAGCGAUCGAAUAACACAAGCAUUAGGAUAAUAAGUUGAUUCUUUCUCGUCAUUCUAUUUUAAAGUCCAAAUAUAUUUUCUUUCUUUUUCUUAUAGGAGGUAGAAUCUUAAUUUAUUAAAAGUUCGGAUAGCAAAAUAUUUUUAUUAAAUUUAAAAUGUUUCUGCCAGAUUUAUGAUUAUUAAUUGUAUUAUGGAUUAAAAAUUUAAAAAUACAAUAACAAAAAUGUAAUAGUUUAUAAAUUGUAAAUAUAAUAUAAGUUAACAUAUCUUGCUCUCUAAAUCACAAUCAGUGAAAACUCGAUCAGUGGAACAAAAUCAGUGGAAAUACAUUGACGUUCAGUGAUAUACAUAUUGAUUUUCAGUGUAUUUAUUUCACUGACAAUCAGUGAAAUAAAUACACUGACCUUUCAGUGACUGUACAAUAAUUCUAAAGUGAAAAUCACUUAAAGACAGUGAAUAUUCACUGAUUAUCACAGUUAUAAGUACGUCACUGCGAAUCAGUGAAUAUCCACUGAUUAAGAUUUAGAGAGUGAAAUGCGGUAGUAAAUAAUGUACCUGUUAGAGCUUCUGUUUGUUAUGACUUGUAGCUCUUUUAUGAGACACUGCGCACGUCACAGUGUUUGUGCUGUUUACUUCCGAAUGGGUUAGGUGGUUAAUAAACCUUCAUUUUAAUUGAUUAGUUAGCAGCGUUUAUUGAUCCGCGAUCUUAUCGAUAUGGCACCGUGAAAAACAAUGGUGGUGGUCGCAUUGGCGGUAAGGCCUGAUCUACAAUGGAUGUCGUAAGUCGUAUCGUAAGAAAUUUACCCAAUCAUGUUCGCUUUUCUUCUCUCUUUCUUUUCUAAGAUCAACUAUGAUUGGCUAGAUUUCUUACGACACGACUUACAACAUCCAUUGUAGACUAGACCUAACGCGCGCAGAUCCGCGUACGGAGAGCGCCCUCGCGAAAGCGUGGGUGAACUAGAACGCAGCCAAGACCGGCUCACAUAGCGCGUCAAGAGAAUUGAGAUGAACAUAAAAAUCCAAUAUUGUCUUCGGUUAGGUCUUGGGUUAGGUCUUAGGUUAGGUCCACCAAUAUCGAGGUAUUAAUUUUUCAAAUUAUGCAAAAGAGAGCGCGCCGAGGGAAGAACUCGAUCCGCUCGAGCUAUAACAUGGAAGAAAAGAUCUAUCGUGAAUAUACGAUAAGCUUUCAUUAAUUUAUUGUUCACAAUUACGAUAGAAAUUAAUUAGGUUCUUGCAGAUCCCCCCAGAUAGCCAGUUUGGUAUAAUAAAGAUAUUAGCAUCUUCCUAUGCAUUUAUGUCGUCCGUUGUGCUGUUGUCUGCUAGCAUUUGAUGUCGGAAAUAAAAUUCUUUGCACGUUUCAAACAUUAUACUAGCAUUAGAUCAGUGUCGAAUGCUAGCAAAUAACAGCACAAGGGACGACGUAAAUGCAUAGCAAGAUGCUAACAUCUUUAUUAGCAACAUGAGAACAAUUUGUGCUCAUACAUACAUUUGUGGCUAUCUGGGCCAUACGCUAAUAUCCCGAUUAUUAGUGGAUCUCACCCAAGACAAUAUUGGACUUUUAUGUUCAUCUCAAUCUCUUCUACUUUUUUACGAGCGUUGACCAAUAUGUUCAUGGACACCCUGUAUACAUAUUAUAUUUCUACAUACUAAUUUAUGGAAAAAAUAAUGUCUUAGAUUGUCUAGAUAUUGUGACAUGACAGCCGCAGGCUGCUGUCCGUCACAAGGCCCUGAGGGCCCUUACGCAAUAACAUCACGCGGGCCCUGCGUCCUCCCGCUCGGGAGCGGACGCAAAAGCGUAUUCUUUUGUACUUUGUGUGUGUGACGUCCCACGUGCUGUCCAUCUAAUUACUUGUUAAGAUUUUUGCGAACGUUAUACCGCGGGUGCGGCAGAGAUCGGUGGCUAUGAAGAUCUCGUUGUAGUUGUCGGACGUCUCGUCUCAACGGAAAAUCUUCCCGGAGAUUGCAGAGGAACGGGCAACGAGGGAGUCAAAGAAGACCCUUUUAAGCGGGGGUCCGCAGGUAAUGUCGCCCUUAUCUUGCCUACCGUUUGUGCCAUGUAAGAAUUCCGAUACUGCCGCUGAAUCACGCUUUCAGGACCCAACGACGGCGCGCGAUGCCGACAUCCCGACGGGGCGAUUGCAGACCCGAUGCCGCGGGAAGUCCGGCGAAAGAAUCACGACAACUCAAGAUGCGCCGACGCCCCGUCGAGGAGGAAAUGACGCCCCGAUGGCGGAGGAUACGCCGGGCGAGGAGAAAAGAGUCGGGCGCGCGAGAAAGCGCCAGGAUUCCCGUGCCCGGGGCCCAUAAUCAUCGACCGCCGUGCGUGGAUCGAUCAGCCGACGACAGCGUGGGCACCGCGCUCUGCGCGAAAAUCGAUUUUCGCGAAAUCAACCAAUAAGGGCCAGGAACGCCGGAGGCAAGGUGGGGCGCGCCGCCGAGCGGCCCCCGCGAGAUCCAGGAUUCCUCACUCGUGCUGCGGACGUAGAGAUAAGACUGUGUGUGUCCCGAGUUCCCGAGCCGAGUUGUGAGGAAGGACGUAGGGACGAGAGUCAUCCCGACCCGGAGGAGGCCACGAGAAGAGAGGCAAAGUGCGGAUUCGACCGUCAAUCACUUAAGAUGCCUUUUCAUGCUGACGCUCGACGCUCGAUUUCGGCGUCAAAACUAAUCACGUGACCAAAUCUGUCAGUGGAAGGAGAAAUAGUGAACGUCAACGUUUGUUCAGUUUGUUCAGCAUUUUAAUGUCAACAAGCGUUUUUAGCAUUGUGACUACAGUUGCAGCAUUAACGAGUGAUUGUUACAUAUACACAUAAUGUCUAGUGUAUAUAAAUAUCAAGCAUGGAUUACUCAAUGUCAGAAAAUUAUAGACAAAACAAAAAAACAGAAACUGCGAAAAAGAGUUGUAAUGACUCUUAUUAUUAAUGAAAUUAUAAAACUGAAGAAAAAAAGGGCUUACAAAAAAAGCGUUUUUGGGUACAUCCACUAUUUCAACUGCGACACGUUCGUGGAUUUUAUAAAGCCAUAUUUCCAACACUUUUUGCAUGGAGACAAAUUUCAAAAUUAUUUACGUAUGACAACAAUUCAAUUUGAAGAACUAUUGUGUUUGGUUGGCCCUUUUAUUUCCAAACUAAAUGUAACAAAAAAGUCUAUACCUGCUGCAGAACGAUUGGUUAUGACAUUAAGAUAUUUAGCGACAGGUGACUGUAUGACUUCCACUUCUAAUCAAUAUCUUGUUGGCCUUACUACAACAAGUAAAAUCAUUCAUGAAACCUGUAAAACACUUUGGACUUGUCUUAGUAAGGAAGCAUUGCCGUAUCCUUUACAAAUAACAGAUUGGUUAAAUAUUGCUGAAGAGUUUGAAAACCAAUGGAAUUUCAACCAUUGCAUAGGUGCUAUUGAUGGAAAACGUGUUGUAAUUCAGUGUCCUGAUAAUGCUGGUUCUACUUACUUUAAUUAUAAAAAUAGUCACAGCAUCGUAUUGCUAGGAAUCUGUGACGCUAAUUACUUGUUUACAUUCAUUGACAUUGGUGCUUAUGGUCGACGUAGCGAUGGUGGAAUUUUAGAGACUCGCUAAUAGGUCAGAAAUUUAAUGAAAAAAAAAAGAA